ensembl:lncRNA
GAAACGGAGACUGAAGGAGAACCACAAGAGGAAAAAGAACCGGAGACUGAAGGAGAACAAUCACAAGAGGAAAAAGAACCGGAGGCUGGAGGAGAACAACCACAAGAGGAAAAAGAACCGGAGACUGAAGGAGAACCACAAGAGGAAAAAGAUCCACAAGAGGAAAAAGAACCGGAGACUGAAGGAGAACCACAAGAGGAAAAAGAACCGGAGACUGAAGGAGAACAACAGGAGGAAAAAGAACCGGAGGCUGAAGGAGAACAACCACAAGAGGAAAAAGAGCCGGAGACUGAAGGAGAACCACAAGAACCGGA